rnacentral:rRNA from 1 species
AACAACGCUGGCGGCGUGCUUACACAUGCAAGUCGAGUGCGCGUGCCGUAGCAAUACGGUAUGGCGCACGGCGCACGGGUGCGUAACACGUGGGCAAUCUGCCCUCCGGUGGGGAAUAACCCCGCGAAAGCGGGGCUAAUUCCGCAUAACAUUCCCUGGACUUCGGUUCGGGGAUUCAAAGCAGCAAUGCGCCGGAGGAGGAGCCCGCGCCCGAUUAGCUAGUUGGUGAGGUAACGGCUCACCAAGGCAAUGAUCGGUAGCUGGUCUGAGAGGAUGGCCAGCCACACUGGAACUGAGACACGGUCCAGACUCCUACGGGAGGCAGCAGUGGGGAAUCUUGCGCAAUGGGCGAAAGCCUGACGCAGCGACGCCGCGUGGGGGAUGAAGCUUUUCGGAGUGUAAACCCCUUUCGACCGGGACGAAUGCCCGCAAGGGAGUGACGGUACCGGUAGAAGAAGCCCCGGCUAACUACGUGCCAGCAGCCGCGGUAAGACGUAGGGGGCCAGCGUUGUUCGGAAUUACUGGGUGUAAAGGGUUCGUA